GCGACGAUCAGUAGCUGGUCUGAGAGGACGACCAGCCACACUGGGACUGAGACACGGCCCAGACUCCUACGGGAGGCAGCAGUGGGGAAUUUUGGACAAUGGGGGAAACCCUGGUCCAGCCAUGCCGCGUGAGUGAAGAAGGCCUUCGGGUUGUAAAGCUCUUUCAGCCGGAACGAAACGGUCACGGCUAAUACCUGUGACCACUGACGGUACCGGAAGAAGAAGCACCGGCUAACUACGUGCCAGCAGCCGCGGUAAUACGUAGGGUGCAAGCGUUAAUCGGAAUUACUGGGCGUAAAGCGUGCGCAGGCGGUUUUGUAAGUCAGGUGUGAAAUCCCCGGGCUUAACCUGGGAACUGCGUUUGAAACUA
rnacentral:rRNA from 1 species